rnacentral:tRNA from 2 species
GCCCGGAUAGCUCAGGGGAUAGAGCAGCGGUUUCCUAAACCGUUGGUCGCAGGUUCAAAUCCUGUUCCGGGUGCCA